AAUUUUAUAGGUCAUGGAGUUGACCUUUAACCGCUUUCAAAGCUGAUGACUCCUGUAGAACU
rnacentral:ncRNA from 2 species